AAGAGAAUUGAUUAGUUCAUCUCUCGAGUCUUUCGAGUCGUUCGUUCUUUUGUCACGUGAAAUGACAGCAUUGGAUAGAGAAAUCAGUUAAUUUACAACCUUCCUUACAAAUGCAUAGUAAUUAUUAUUAUUAUUAUUAUUACGUUAUAGUAUUAGAUAGACUUGUCAGAUAAGAGGUGAGGUGAGCUAAUCGUAGACUAAAGAUCCAGGAUCAUAUAAUCAUAUAAAUCAUAUUGAGCACCUGUGGGGCAUCCUCAAGAGGAAGGUGGAGAAGCGCCAUGUGCCUAACAUCCAGCAGCUCCGUGAUGUCAUUAUGGAGGAGUGGAAGAGGAUCCCAGCAACAAUCUGUGCAGCUCUGGUGAAUUCCAUGCCUAGGAGGAUUAAGGAAGUGAGGCAGAUCUCUUGGAGCGUCUCACUGUCUGGUAGCUCGUGUAGACACCUGCAUCAGUAAGUGUCAGAUACAGUGAUCUCAGCUUCUGCAGAGAGGAGGCCUGAGAUGGGAAAUUAAAUUCUAGAUUAAUCUGGACAGUGCACUUAUUUUAAGAUGCUCUUUACAAUCCAAGACUGCAGCCUGACCACAUAUCAUUUUACUGUACACAAUAAGAGACUGCAUACAAAACAUACAAAUAAUCACAACUCAUUACUGUGUGAGUGAAUGUGCAUGUGAAUGACACCAUCCUAGUUUGUUUAUCCACAGCAUGUUUUUAAAUAUAUAAUCAUAUCAUCAUCAUCAUCAUCAUCAUCACAUCAUGCAUUCUCUGCGCAUAGACACAUCCAGUGAUGUCAUGCAUCUGUAACUACAGUGUAUAACAGUUAAAGGUUUGGAUUGUGAUAUGGAAAGCAGUCAUGGGCUGCAGUUACAGACAGUGAAACUGCAGCAGUAAUCAGACGCAACAGGCGCAAACUCUGUGCACGAGCGCGGAACAUCACUGUAAGAAAUGUGCUCUGCCCAGCUUCCACUCCAGAGUAGGUGAGAGAACAAAGCCCCUUCCCAAAACGGCUUAAUUAACAUAGAGACAGUGCAUUUUGAUAUCAACAAUGUGUGAAUAGUGAAUAGUCUCUUCGUGCGCUUCACAGACAGGAAGCUGCAGAUGCUUUAACCGCAGCAGUAACCGCCAUCGUGUAUGGUGCAGCUCAUAGAAGCAUGAAGGCAGAAGAGCGACUGCAGAUAUCAGAAUGAUCCACAUCAUGUGAGAUUACUAGUGCUGAUGCAUGGAGUUAAUGUUAAAGAGCGACUGAAUAACGUGGCAUUCUCUCAGUUUCAGGGGUUUCAGUACCUCCAUGGAGAGAUGUGCGUUUCCGUUUGUUUUGAACAUACUUUUUUUUCCUUUUCUUUUUUUUUUUGCACAGGAUCAGGGAUGUAUGAUAAAGGAUAUGAGAAAGUCCUGUAAAUCGACGAACUUUGUGACCUUCACAACACUUCCUCAUUCUCAUAAAACCACCUGAGUCCUGAUGAAAGCCAUCAUCAAAUCUCACAUAAUCACAUCUCAUUUUAACUCUCAUCACAUCAUCACUUCUCACAUUUUAAUCAUUUCUAACCUGAACAGAUAAUCCUAAUAAUUCAGUGUUACAAUAUAAAUACCAUUGAGGCUUACCUUGGAAGAAGAAGGAGAGCGAGCACGUGCCCAGCCAUGCACAUGUUUCUCUGCAGUUCCUUUUUUUGUUCUUUGGGUUUUUUUUUGUUUUUUUUGGCCUGUGUGCAUACCGCCUCCUACUGUCUUCAGGUCAUGGUUUAUUAUUAUAAAAAAAAUAAAUAAAAAAAAAAACUUGCUCCAUGAGGGUUCAGCUCCUCCAUCCUCCACACACAAGCUCUCAGGCUCCGGAGUGGAGCAGAGCAUCACUACUUCAUUUUAAUAUAAAUCCUUGCAUUUAGUCUUGUACUAUUAUACUGAAUAUGUAUUGAAAAAGAAACUCAUAUCCCAGUAGAUAUUCCAAGUCCUUCUCCUUCUUACCCAUUUUAUUUAAAUAUGUUAUUAAGUCCUUUCUCUCUUCGCUGUACCUUUCACAAUCAUAUGUUGUGUUCUAUUGUUUUUUUCUCACAACAAUACUCACAUAAAUCACUAUCACCUUCUCCAGGUAAGAACAGUGAGGCAUUCAGUCCUGAGUGACCAAGUCUUAGCCUAGUUAUUAUGACCUCUUCCUUCCUAUUUCUACCACACAUAGUUCUUUUAGUAUCUACCAAAUUUUUAAUUUUAUAUCAAUGCCUUUCCUUAAUGUCCGUAUUCCAAAUUUCUUGCCGUUCUUUUGUAAUAUUUUUCUUAAUAAUACUCUUAGAUUCUCCUUUGCCUAAGGGCACAUUGAUGACCACUUCCUUCCUUUUUAAAGCUUUUUUUGUUAGCUCAUUCGCUGUUUUGUUUCCAGAUAUCCCUGCAUGUGCUGGUACCCAGUAAACCUUUUUACUACUCCUUUUCUUUGUAUACGCCAUAAUAACAAACAUCUCACUCAUCAAGUCUUCUCGAGAUGAUUGAUGGGUAGAUAGUGAUGUUAAGACAGAAGCAGAAUCAGAACAUAUCACCACUCUAUCUAUUUCCUCUACCCACAUCAAACCUACUAUGAUAGCGACCAUUUCAACAGCAUAUAUAGAUAACUCCAAUGUUAAUCUUUUAGUUAUAGUUGUAUCCAGAUCUGGGAUAUACAGUGGUCCUUUAAAGUUUGUGAACCCUCUAUAAUUUUCUAUAUAUCUGCAUAAAUAUGACCUAAAACGACAUCAGAUUUU